rnacentral:RNase_P_RNA from 1 species
AAACAGGGUGGCAGCGGGCAUCGGGGCAACCCGAUGAAUGAGGAAAGUCCGGGCUUCACAGGGCAGGAUAGCUGCUAACGGCAGCCGAAGGCGACUUUAGGGAAAGUGCAACAGAGAGAUACCGCCGGAAAUCUUUCCGGUAAGGGUGGAAAGGCGAGGUAAGAGCUCACCGGGGCGCAGAAGACUGCGCUGCCAUGUAAACCCUAUCCGAAGCAACACCGUGACUGCAAAAAGAAAGACGGCUGCCCGCCGUCCCUUUUUAUGAGAAUAUCAGCGGUCUAUGUGGCUUGAACCGUCGAGUAAUCGCCGGUCUAGAUAGAUUGUCACCAUAACAGAACCCGGCUUAUUUGUUUACUCA